CAAAGAAACUGAUAAAAUUGAAAACGAGAAAGAGAAAAUAAGACUGAGACGAGAUGAACUAGAUCAACUACAAGCAGAUAUUCAUAAACAACAAAGUGAAAUGAAAAAGGAAAAGAACAACAUUGAAAGUGAAAGAGUUGCAGUGAUCCGGGAAAAACAGGACAUGAUGACUGAGCUGAGAAAGAAGUUUGAAGACGUUAAGCUUCAGAUGAAGGAGCUAUUGACUAAUCAGGAAAUAUUGAAAAAUGACAAAGAACUGCUGAAGAGAGACAUGGAAGAUCUGCAACAAAAACUAGUCAAUGUAGACAGAGACUCAGAGAGUCUGUAAACAUGAGAGAGACAGGACAUUAUGACUGAGCUGAGAAAGAAGUACUGAAGACGUUAAGCUUCAGAUGAAGGAGCUAUUGACUAAUCAGGAAAUAUUGAAAAAUGACAAAGAACUGCUGAAGAGAGACAUGGAAGAUCUGCAACAAAAACUAGUCAAUGUAGACAGAGACUCAGAGAGUCUGAAACAUGAGAGAGAAGCUUUGGAGAAUGAGAAGGAAGUAAUAAAAAAGAUCAAAACUGACCUGCAAAGAGAGACACAAGAGUUUGACAAGAUCAAACUACAAACACAACAGAGUUUGGAAAAGAUGGCUGAAGAACUUGAGAAAGAGAAAGAAAAUAUUCUUCAUCUUGCUGAAGAUACAAAGAGAAAACAUGAGAUUCUGGAUGAAAUGAAAGCUGCAAGUGAGUCUUCAAUGGCAGAUCUACAAAGAGAGAAAAACAACCUUAAAGAAAUGAAAUUGAACAUCUCCAAACAAAUUGAUGAUCUUGAAAAUGAGAAAGAGAAAAUAAAACUCAGACAAGAUGAACUAGAGCAACUACAAGCAGAGAAUCAAAAACAACAAUGUGAAUUGAAAAACCUCAAAGAAAUCAUCAUGACUGAGAAGCAGCAGCUUGAUCUCAGAGAGACUGAAAUACAAAAACAUCAGAAGGAGCUGCAUGACAUUGUGGAGAUAGCAAAGAAUGAAAAGAGCAUUGCUGAAACUCAAAAAGCUGCAAUGAUUAGGGAAAAACAGGACAUGAUGACUGAGCUGAGAAAGAAGUCUGAAGAUGUUGAGCUUCAGAUGAAGCAGAUAUUGACUGAAAAGGAAAUAUUGGAAAAUGAUACACAACUGCUGAAGAGAAACAUGGAAGAUCUGCAACAAAAACUAGUUAAUGUAGACAGAGACUCAGAGAGUCUGAAACAUGAGAGAGAAGCUUUGGAGAAUGAGAAGGAAGUAAUAAAAAAUAUCAAAACUGACCUGCAAAGAGAGACACAAGAGUUCGAGAAGAUCAAACUACAAACACAAGAUGAAAGACAAAAACUGGAGGAAAUGACAGCUCAACUCCAGAAAGAGAGAAAAGAAAUCAAUGAUCUUACUGAAGAGACCAAAGGAAAGAACAAAGAAAUUCAAGUUAAAAUGAAAGAAAUUCAAUCUGAUAGAGACAUGAUUGAGAAGGAAAUGCAUGAUCUCGAGAAAACCAAACAUGAACUUGCUAAAAUCAAAGAAGAUCUUGAAAAACUAUUUGCUGAGCUUGCAGAAGAGAAAGAAAUCAAACAGGCAGAGAUACAGAAAGAGAGAGACAACCUAGAGGAGAAGAAGGAGACCAUCACAAGACAAACACAUCAGAAACAGGAACUAAGACAAUGACAGAAAUAUUAUAUAAAAGACAGAAGUCAGCUUGAUCUGAGACAGUCUAAGCUAGACAAACAACAGACAGAAGUGAGUCACAUUAUGGAAAAAAUGAGAAAUGAGAGAAGCCAACUAGAUGAAGAAAAACAAAAGAUGGAAGAACAGAAACAGCAAUUGAAGAAAGAAAUAGAUGAUGUAGACCAAAGCAGAGAAGAUCUGGCUGAAGACAUAAAGAUGACGACACUUCAGAAACAAGUGACUGAAGAUGAGAAGAACAAGUUGGAACAGAUGAAGAUUGAGCUGCAAAGAGAAGCUGAUGAUAUCAGAAAGCUCAAAGAAGAAACACAAAAUGAGAGAAAGAGUUUGGAAAAGAUGGCUGAAGAACUUGAGAAAGAGAAAGAAAAUAUUCUUCAUCUUGCUGAAGAUACAAAGAGAAAACAUGAGAUUCUGGAUGAAAUGAAAGCUGCAAGUGAGUCUUCAAUGGCAGAUCUACAAAGAGAGAAAAACAACCUUGAGGAAUUUAGAUUGAACAUCUCCAAAGAAACUGAUCAAAUUGAAAACGAGAAAGAGAAAAUAAGACUGAGACAAGAUGAACUAGAUCAACUACAAGCAGAGAUUCAUAAACAACAAAGUGAAAUGAAAAACCUCAAAGAAAUCAUCAUGACUGAGAAGCAGCAGCUUGAUCUCAGAGAGACUGAAAUAGAAAAACAACAGAAGGAGCUGCAUGACAUUGUGGAGAUCGCAAAGAAUGAGAAGAGCAUUGCUGAAACUCAAAAAGCUGCAAUGAUCAGAGAAAAACAGGACAUGAUGACUGAGCUGAGAAAGAAGUCUGAAGAUGUUGAGUUUCAGAUGAAGCAGAUAUUGACUGAAAAGGAAAUAUUGGAAAAUGAUACACAACUGCUGAAGAGAAACAUGGAAGAUCUGCAACAAAAACUAAGUUAAUAGUAGACAGAGACUCAGAGAGUCUGAAACAAUGAGAGAGAAGACUUUGGUAGAAUGAGAAGGAAGGUAAAUAAAAAAUAAAUACUGGAGGAAAUGACAGCUCAACUCCAGAAAGAGAGAAAAGAAAUCAAUGAUCUUACUAAAGAGACCAAAGGAAAGAACAAAGAAAUUCAAGUUAAAAUGAAAGAAAUUCAAUCUGAUAGAGACAUGAUUGAGAAGGAAAUGCAUGAUCUCGAGAAAAUCAAACAUGAACUUGCUAAAGCAAAGGAGGAUCUAGAAAAAGAAAGAGAACAGCAAGGAAUCAUACUAGCAGAGAUACAGAAAGAGAGAGACAACCUAGAGGAGAAGAAGGAGACCAUCACAAGACAAACACAUGAAAUGAAAAAUCAAGAGGAACAAAUGAGACAAAAACAACAUGAACUCGCACAACUGAAAACUGAAAUUCAGAAUCAGAAACAGGAACUAGACAAUGACAGAAACAUUAUAAUAAAAGACAGAAGUCAGCUUGAUCUGAGACAGUCUGAGCUAGACAAACAACAGACAGAAGUGAGUGACAUUAUGGAAAAAAUGAGAAAUGAGAGAAGCCAACUAGAUGAAAGAUAAACAAGAGAUGGAAGAACAGAAAUGGCAAAUGAAGAAAGAAAGAGAUGAUGUAGACCAAAGUAGAAAAGAUCUGACUGAAGACCUAAAGAUCAUAAUACAUAAACAACAAAGUAGAAAUAGAAAAGGAAAAGAACAACACUGAAAGUGAAAGAGUUGCAGUGAUCCGGGAAAACAGGACAUGAUGACUGAGCUGAGAAAGAAGUCUGAAUAUGUUGAGCUUCAGAUGAAGGAGCUAUUGACUAAUCAGGAAAUAUUGAAAAAUGACAAACAACUGCUGAAGAGAGACAUGGAAGAUCUGCAACAAAAACUAGUUAAUGUAGACAGAGACUCAGAGAGUCUGAAACAUGAGAGAGAAGCUUUGGAGAAUGAGAAGGAAGUAAUAAAAAAGAUCAAAACUGACCUGCAAAGAGAGACACAAGAGUUCGAGAAGAUCAAACUACAAACACAAGAUGAAAGACAAAAACUGGAGGAAAUGACAGCUCAACUCCAGAAAGAGAGGAAAGAAAUCAGUGAUCUCAUGGAGGAAAUUAAAAAGAAGGAAGAUAUUCUGGAUGAAAGCUAUACUGAAAUACAAAGGGAACAAGAAGCAAUGGAGAGAGGCAAAGACUUGAUUAGAAGGGAACGUCUGACCUAGAGAAACUAAACAAUGAACUUAGCUAAAGCAAAGGAGGAAUACUAGAAAAAGAAAGUGAAAAGCAAGGAAUCAUACUAGCAGAGAUACAGAAAGAGAGAGACAACCUAGAGGAGAAGAAGGAGACCAUCACAAGACAAACACAUGAAAUGAAAAAUCAAGAGGAACAAAUGAGACAAAAACAACAUGAACUAGAACAACUGAAAACUGAAAUUCAGAAUCAGAAACAGGAACUAGACAAUGACAGAAAUAUUAUAAUAAAAGACAGAAGUCAGCUUGAUCUGAGACAGUCUGAGCUAGACAAACAACAGACAGAAGUGAGUCACAUUAUGGACAAAAUGAGAAAUGAGAGAAGCCAACUAGAUAAAGAUAAACAAGAGAUUGAGAAACAGAAACAGCAAUUGAAGAAAGAAAGAGAUGAUAUAGACCAAAGUAGAAAAGAUCUGACUGAAGACCUAAAGAUCAUGACACUUCAGAAACAAGUGACUGAAGAUGAGAAGAACAAGUUAGAACGCACAUUAAUGGAAAAAAAUGAGAAAUGAGAGAAGCCAACUAGAUGAAGAAAACAAAAGAUGAAAGACAGAAAAUGGCAAAUGAAGAAAGUAAAGAGAUGAUGUAGACCAAAGUAGAAAGGAUCUGACUGAAGACAUAAAAGAUGAUGACACUUCAGAAACAAGUGACUGAAGAUGAGAAGAACAAGUUAGAACAGAUGAAGAUUGAGCUGCAAAGAGAAGCACAGCGAGAGGUUGAUGAUCUAAUGGAAUUCACAAAGACAGAAAUGACCAACAUAGAAAGAGACAGAGUGGAAAUGAUGGCACAGAAGAGAAAUGUAGAGAGAGAGAUGGUCAGUCUAGAGGAAGAAAAGGAGACCUGUGAACAACUGAGACUAAAAUUACUGGAGGAAAAGGAUCAGGUUGAAAAAGACAGAGAGGUGUUGACCAAAAAUUUGCAUCUUAUGGAGAGGCAAAAAAUGGAUAUGGAGAAAGAAUUAAAGAAUCUAAAAGUUGAGAAACACACCUUUGAAAAUGAGAAGGAGGAACUAGAGAGGAUGAAAAGCGACCUUCAAAGACAAGCUGAAGACUUGGAGAAACUAUCUGAGAAGACAAAGAAUGAAAGAUGGAGGGCAGAAGAGAUGGCAGCCAAAUUUAAAAGCAAUUAGACGUUGGAUGAGACAGAGAAGCAGAGUAAGGAAAUUCAGUCAACCAAAGACUUGCUUCGGGAAGAAAGGUCUGAGCUGGAGAAAACCAAAGCAGAGAUAAAACAAGCCAAGGAAGAAUUAGAGAGUCAAAGAACUGACUUACAGAGAGAAAAAGACAUUCUUAAGCAAGUGAGUAUAAAUAAUUUGAGACAAACAGCUCAAAUUGAAGAUGAGAAGGAAAAAAUACAACACAAAGAGUAUGAACUAGAACAAAUGAGAGCAGAACUUACAAAACAAACAAAAAGAAUGGAUGACAUAGAAAAACAACAAUAAAUAAAAAGAAAAAGCUAAAUAUGGAAGAAUCUAGGAAACAAAAGAGAGCUAGAGUUGGCUAAGAGU
rnacentral:lncRNA from 1 species